UACGUAGGUGGCGAGCGUUGUCCGGAAUUACUGGGUGUAAAGGGCGUGUAGGCGGGACUGUAAGUCAGAUGUGAAAUCCCGAAGCUUAACUUCGGAGCUGCAUCUGAAACUAUGGUUCUUGAGUGCUGGAGAGGAAAGCGGAAUUCCUAGUGUAGCGGUGAAAUGCGUAGAUAUUAGGAGGAACACCAGUGGCGAAGGCGGCUUCCUGGACAGUAACUGACGCUGAGGCGCGAAAGCGUGGGGAGCAAACAGG
rnacentral:rRNA from 1 species